CGUUACUGGGUGCGGAUCUCGGGCCGUAUAUAAGGAUGAAGAUGCACUUCAAUCGCAUAUUAAGUCGUCUCUACUGGAACCGACCACUCGAACAACAAUGAAACUCCUUACGUGCCUGAUGCUGGUGGCUGUGGCGCUGGGCGCGGCAUCUGCGGGUUACAUCCGCAGUGGUUGGUACCCCAGCUACAGCUCGCCUCUCGUGUACUCCCGGUCCUACGCCUACCCGUCUUACUACAGCGGUUGGUCAGGCAACAACGGCUGGAACAACGGCGGAUGGAACCGUGGUGGGUGGAAGAGCGGUUGGAACAGUGGCUGGUGGUAAAUACUACGGAUCCGUGACCAACAUUUACCUUUUUUUUUAAUUGCAAGAAAGUACGGUCAAUAAAGUUUCUUGAAAAUUAGUUGCUUAACAAAAAGUCACCUACUUGUACCUUGUUCUCUCAAAUUGUUGUAAGUUUCUCUCAAAUUAUGAUUCUUUAUUGUAUUAUUGUAUGUAAUAUUGUUCGAAAUUCUAAAUAUAAUAUUUCAAGUAACAGGAACGUGUAUCUGCGAUAAUGUGAUCGCCGCUUCAAAACAAGUUGUGAUGUAACACGUACCUGUAUAUUGUAAUGAAUAUAAUUAUUAUUUUAUGACCGAA